UUUGACAUUUUGUUCUACCUAAGGCUGCGUUCACACAGAAAAAAGUUUCUUGCCCAUUCUUAGCAACCUAUCGAUUAUUGUAACUCUAGAUUUUAUACAUUUCCCAAAUUCUUAUAAUAAAAUAAUCCUGUUGUAUACAGUGGUGUGUAUAUUAUUUCCAAUUUAAUGUUUUUUGCUUCUAGGUUCACUGAUAGUAAUGAUAAUGCAACCGCAAAAGUCGGAAAGUCGAAUCGAAUUUGUUCUAUCAAAUGUUAAGAAAAUUAGAAAGAAAAAUGUGAUAGACCCAUGAAAAUGGGAUUGUUCGACUUUCAAUCACUACGGCAGUAUAGCAAUUUAUUCCCAAUAUUGGUGCAGCUAUCUGGUAGUUCGAACACCUCCAAUAUUUCAAUAUUUUCUGCUUGAACCUUGUUUAUUGACAAAUGUAUUUUAUUCGAUUGCUUUUUUAAGUAAACUUAUAGAACAAGUUUUAUAUCAUUGGUACAAUAUUUUAACACAAAUGCAGAAAUUAAGCCUUUUUACCCUGAUUGGGAAGACCAAGAACUUUUCGAUCUGUAUCCUUUAACACACCAGAAGGAAGGUACCGCAAUACGUCGACUGGAGCUCUUUUGAGCAUUUGUAGGCGUUCGUCUUCAACCAUUUUCAAUCUGGGAUAUAUUAAUAAAUUUUAAUAAACUAAUAACUUCUAUAUUAUGUA